rnacentral:rRNA from 1 species
UUCCUACGGGAGGCAGCAGUGGGGAAUUUUCCGCAAUGGGCGAAAGCCUGACGGAGUGACGCCCGUGGGGGACGAAGGCCUUCGGGUCGUAAACCCCUGUCAGGGAAAGAAGGGUCUCGGCGUGAACAGCGCCGGGAUCUGACGGUACCUUCAGAGGAAGCCCCGGCCAACUCUGUGCCAGCAGCCGCGGUAAGACAGAGGGGGCAAGCGUUGCUCGGAAUCACUGGGCGUAAAGGGCGCGUAGGCGGGAUGGCAAGUCAGUCGUGAAAUCCCUGGGCUCAACUCAGGGGGGUCGGCUGAAACUGCCGUUCUUGAGGGAUGCAGAGGAGACUGGAAUUCCCGGUGUAGCGGUGAAAUGUGUAGAGAUCGGGAGGAACACCGGUGGCGAAGGCGGGUCUCUGGGCAUUCCCUGACGCUGAGGCGCGAAAGCGUGGGGAGCAAACGGGAUUAGAUACCCCGGUAGUCCACGCGGUAAACGAUGACGACUAGGUGUGGGGGGGUUAAGUCCCUUCCGUGCCGCAGCUAACGCAUUAAGUCGUCCGCCUGGGGAGUACGGCCGCAAGGUUGAAACUCAAAGGAAUUGACGGGGGCCCGCACAGCGGUGGAGCAUGUGGUUCAAUUCGAUGCAGAGCGGCCUUACCUGGGCUUGACAUGUAGGAAGUAGAAACCGGAAACGGGGACGACCUGUGAGUCAGGAGCCUACACAGGUGGUGCAUGGCGUCGUCAGCUCGUGCCGUGAGGUGUUGGGUUAAGUCCCGCAACGAGC